UAACAGUUGUGCAGCUGGGUCUUCC
rnacentral:piRNA from 1 species